CCUACGGGCGGCAGCAGUAGGGAAUAUUGCUCAAUGGGGAAAACCCUGAAGCAGCAACGCCGCGUGGAGGAUGAAGGUUUUCGGAUUGUAAACUCCUUUUGUUAGAGAAGAUAAUGACGGUAUCUAACGAAUAAGCACCGGCUAACUCCGUGCCAGCAGCCGCGGUAAUACGGAGGGUGCAAGCGUUACUCGGAAUCACUGGGCGUAAAGAGCGCGGAGGCGGGAUAGCAAGUCAGAUGUGAAAUCCUAGGGCUUAACCAUAGAACUGCAUUUGAAACUGUUAUUCUAGAGUAUGGGAGAGGUAGGUGGAAUGCUUGGUGUAGGGGUAAAAUCCGUAGAGAUCAAGAGGAAUACUCAUUGCGAAGGCGACCUGCUAGAACAUAACUGACGCUGAUGCGCGAAAGCGUGGGGAGCAAACAGGAUUAGAUACCCGAGUAGUC
rnacentral:rRNA from 1 species